UUCCCAAAAACAUAAAGUUUUGGUCCUAAACUUGCCAUUGUUUUUUAUCAAAAUUAUACAUGCAAGCCUCUGCACACCAGUGAGAAUGCCCACAUACCCCCAAACAGCCAACCGGAGCAGGCAUCAGGAUGCAACCACUUUAGCCCACGACGCCUUGCAAAUGCCACACCCACACGGGCCUUCAGCAGUAAUUAACAUUAAAACAUGAGCGAAAGCUCGACUUAGUUAUGAUAAACAUAGCCGGUAAAUUUCGUGCCAGCCACCGCGGUUAUACGAAAGACUAAGAACAAUAGCCCACGGCGUAAAGCGUGACAAGAGACACAAAACAAUUAAGGGGGCACAAUUGCCAAGUUGUAAAAUACUACUGCACAUUAGAACCACGAUAAUAAAACCACCCUUAAUAAUACUUCACCUCACGAAAGCUAAGAAACAAACUGGGAUUAGAUACCCCACUAUGCUCAGCCCUAAACAAAGAUAGUAUAAAACACAAAACUAUCCGCCAGAGAACUACAAGCGAAAAGCUUAAAACUCCAAGGACUUGGCGGUGCUUCAUAUCAACCUAGAGGAGCCUGUCCUAUAAUCGAUACCCCACGCUAAACCUUACCGCUCCUAGCCAAUCAGCCUAUAUACCGCCGUCGUCAGCCCACCUCAUGAGAGAAACAAAGUGAGCAAAAAAGUUAUCAACUAAUACGUCAGGUCAAGGUGUAGCACACGAAGCGGCAGAGAUGGGCUACAUUUUUUCAAAUACAAAACACGAAUAGUGAACUGAAAUAUCACACUUGAAGGAGGAUUUAGUAGUAAGAUUGAGAAUACUACCAGUCUUAAACCUGCUCUGAAGCGCGCACACACCGCCCGUCACCCUCAUCACACGCCACAACACACAAAAUAUUACACUA
rnacentral:ncRNA from 1 species